rnacentral:rRNA from 1 species
UACGUAGGCAGCGAGCGUUGUUCGGAAUUACUGGGCGUAAAGGGCGCGUAGGCGGGCUGCCAAGUUUGGGGUGAAAUCCUCCGGCUCAACCGGGGAAGUGCCUUGAAUACUGGCGGUCUGGAGGGAGGUAGGGGCGUGCGGAACUGUAGGUGGAGCGGUGAAAUGCGUUGAUAUCUACAGGAACUCCGGUGGCGAAGGCGGCACGCUGGACCUUUUCUGACGCUGAGGCGCGAAAGCCAGGGGAGCGAACGGG